GAUGAACGCUGGCGGCGUGCCUAAUACAUGCAAGUCGAGCGAACAGACGAGGAGCUUGCUCCUCUGACGUUAGCGGCGGACGGGUGAGUAACACGUGGAUAACCUACCUAUAAGACUGGGAUAACUUCGGGAAACCGGAGCUAAUACCGGAUAAUAUAUUGAACCGCAUGGUUCAAUAGUGAAAGACGGUUUUGCUGUCACUUAUAGAUGGAUCCGCGCUGCAUUAGCUAGUUGGUAAGGUAACGGCUUACCAAGGCAAGGAUGCGUAGACGACCUGAGAGGGUGAUCGGCGACACUGGAACUGAGACACGGUCCAGACUACUACGGGAGGCAGCAGUAGGCAAUCUUCCGCAGUGGGCGAAAGCCUGACGGAGCAACGCCGCGUGAGUGAUGAAGGUCUUCGGAUCGUAAAACUCUGUUAUUAGGGAAGAACAAAUGUGUAAGUAACUAUGCACGUCUUGACGGUACCUAAUCAGAAAGCCACGGCUAACUACGUG
rnacentral:rRNA from 1 species